rnacentral:rRNA from 1 species
UACGUAGGGGGCAAGCGUUGUCCGGAAUCAUUGGGCGUAAAGAGCUCGUAGGCGGCUUGGCAAGUCAGGUGUGAAAACUUCAGGCUCAACCUGGAGAUGCCACCUGAGACUGCUAAGUGCUGGAGUCGGUAGGGACACGAUCUGGUGUAGCGGUGAAAUGCGCAGAUAUCAGGAGGAACACCGGUGGCGAAGGCGGUGGUCGUGGGCCGGCACUGACGCUGAGGAGCGAAAGCGUGGGUAGCAAACAGG